rnacentral:tRNA from 1 species
GGGGUUGUGGCUCAGUGGUACAGUGCUCAUCUCACACAUGGAAGGCACUGGGUUUGAUCCUCAGCACCACA